UAUCGUUUAUUUGAUAGUACCUUACUACUUGGAUAACCGUGGUAAUUCUAGAGCUAAUACAUGCUGAAAACCCCGACUUCGGGAGGGGUGUAUUUAUUAGAUAAAAAACCAACGCCCUUCGGGGCUUCUUGGUGAUUCAUGAUAACUUAACGAAUCGCAUGGCCUUGCGCCGGCGAUGGUUCAUUCAAAUUUCUGCCCUAUCAACUUUCGAUGGUAGGAUAGUGGCCUACCAUGGUAUCAACGGGUAACGGGGAAUUAGGGUUCUAUUCCGGAGAGGGAGCCUGAGAAACGGCUACCACAUCCAAGGAAGGCAGCAGGCGCGCAAAUUACCCAAUCCCGACACGGGGAGGUAGUGACAAUAAAUACUGAUACAGGGCUCUUUUGGGUCUUGUAAUUGGAAUGAGUACAAUUUAAAUCCCUUAACGAGGAACAAUUGGAGGGCAAGUCUGGUGCCAGCAGCCGCGGUAAUUCCAGCUCCAAUAGCGUAUAUUAAAGUUGUUGCAGUUAAAAAGCUCGUAGUUGAACCUUGGGCCUGGCUGGCCGGUCCGCCUCACCGCGUGCACUGGUCCGGCCGGGCCUUUCCUUCUGGGGAGCCGCAUGCCCUUCACUGGGUGUGUCGGGGAACCAGGACUUUUACUUUGAAAAAAUUAGAGUGUUCAAAGCAGGCCUUUGCUCGGAUACAUUAGCAUGGAAUAAUAGAAUAGGACGUGCGGUCCUAUUUUGUUGGUUUCUAGGACCGCCGUAAUGAUUAAUAGGGAUAGUCGGGGGCAUCAGUAUUCAAUUGUCAGAGGUGAAAUUCUUGGAUUUAUUGAAGACUAACUACUGCGAAAGCAUUUGCCAAGGAUGUUUUCAUUAAUCAGUGAACGAAAGUUAGGGGAUCGAAGACGAUCAGAUACCGUCGUAGUCUUAACCGUAAACUAUGCCGACUAGGGAUCGGGCGAUGUUAUCAUUUUGACUCGCUCGGCACCUUACGAGAAAUCAAAGUCU
rnacentral:rRNA from 1 species